ensembl:miRNA
AUGUGAAAUUACCAGUAUUUGUCUGCUUUGACCUACAAAAACUGGCAGCUUCAUGUAA